AAUGGGGGCAACCCUGAUCCAGCAAUGCCGCGUGGGUGAAGACGGCCUGCGGGUUGUAAAGCCCUUUAGGCGGGGAGGAACGGUGUCGGGCGAACAGCCCGGCGCUCUGACGUUACCCGCAGAAUAAGCACCGGCUAACUCCGUGCCAGCAGCCGCGGUAAUACGGAGGGUGCGAGCGUUAAUCGGAAUUACUGGGCGUAAAGCGUGCGUAGGCGGUCCGGUCAGUCAGCCGUGAAAGCCCCGGGCUCAACCUGGGAACGGCGGUUGAGACGGCCGGGCUGGAGUGGGCUAGAGGAUCGUGGAAUUCCGGGUGUAGCGGUGAAAUGCGUAGAGAUCCGUAGGAACACCGAUGGCGAAGGCAGCGAUCUGGGGCCACACUGACGCUGAGGCACGAAAGCGUGGGGAGCAAA
rnacentral:rRNA from 1 species